rnacentral:rRNA from 1 species
UACGUAGGGUGCGAGCGUUAAUCGGAAUUACUGGGCGUAAAGCGUGCGCAGGCGGCGCGUUAAGACAGGUGUGAAAGCCCCGAGCUUAACUUGGGAAUUGCGCUUGUGACUGGCGUGCUCGAGUAUGGAAGAGGGUCGCAGAAUUCCCGGUGUAGAGGUGAAAUUCGUAGAUAUCGGGAGGAAUACCAGUGGCGAAGGCGGCGACCUGGGCCAAUACUGACGCUGAGGUGCGAAAGCGUGGGGAGCAAACAGG